AAAGGAUAGUUUAAACAUUUAAUUGAAUAAGCAAUGAGUAAUCUGAUGUCACCACACUUCUACUUGCCACACUUAAGAGGAGUGUGAAACCAUAUUCCAAGAACAAUUUUGUGUUUUUGAAGAAACUGAGUUCACAAGACUCUUGUCUUGUUUCCUCGUAGUGUUCUCAUAGUACUCAGAACUCUCCUCAUAAAAUCCAGCACUGGACCAAGUGCUGACAGUCUGGCUCAAUUUCAUAUCUUUCCAUUGUACCGGCAUGUUAUUGAUUAUUAAUUGAUGUGAAGGAUCUAUUCCAUUAUUUGUGGUACCACUUUUAAACAGAUGAUUCUGGACUAUACAAACUUAGGAACUACUACCACCAGCAGAAACAAGCAAAAGUGCCUACUGUGAAGGGUGACCCACUCAACUUGGCUGACAUCAAGGCCCACAUCCACUGCUUUAAGUUGUUCAAUCCAAACAUUUACUCCAUUUAUGAGCUGCUGGAUCAAGAGGAGGAAUCAGUGCGGCAGAACCAGAUCCAGGAGCAAGUCAUUGGCAAGGAAGAUGAAAACCUGAAGGGUGGCUGAGAUUGAAGAAGUCUUGGUUAUGAUCUGCUAUUUACGGUGUUUCUGAGACCAAGAGGUCUUCUGCUAGAGUAAUGACUCAUGGCAAUGGGUCAUUUGCAUUAUGUAUAUGUAUAUGUGUACAUGUAUAUACAUAUACACAUUUACAUAAGUGUGUGUGUGUGUGUGUGUGUAAAUUUAUUGCAGUUUCCUAUGUCACUGUAACAAAUUUUCGAUAGAGGGCUGUGAAACAUGGAGAAUUGGAAGCAGUCUUUAUGAUAUGGAGAGAGGCUAAUCCCUGUGGCUAUCUGUGGCCUGAGCUGUCACACUGAGGCCAUCAACAUGUGCUAGGCCUAUACUGCUUCCUGAGGCCUUGUUGAUGUCUGUGUGACAUGCUACUGGUGAGGACCAUGCCCAGGUUCAUGGUACUGCUGCAUUCAGGGGCCAAGUUGAUGUCCAUGGUCCUUGUUAUCACUCAAAGCCAUGCAGAUGUCCACAAUCCAUGCUGCUGCCUGAAGUCUUGUGGAUGGCUGUGGGCUAGUCUGCCACCCAGACAGUGUGGGUGUGCUUAAUGGGUUUUUCCACUGGAGAUCAUAAUGAGGUUUUAUGGACAUGGAUGGUUGUGGCCUAUGCUGUGGCCAGAUACCAUAGUGUUCCUUCUGACUAUAAAACCCAAGAAAGCUUCUGCAGAGGUUCUGAUGACUGAGACUCAUGGAUGAAAAAAGGGAGACAGAAGGAUUCUGUGACAAUCCCUACCCCUCUGUCCCCAGGGUGGGGGAAAGGUAACAAUUUAGAUAGGAAGCCAUCAAAAAGAAUGCUUAAAUACUGUAUAAGUAUGAACAGUCACAUUCUGCAAUAGCUAACUACUGGCAGGGGUGAGGGUGGGGAAGCACUCACUGUUUUUACAAAGCAGGUCACUGGGAGUUUACCAUGCUCCUGUGACUGUAUGAACAACACAGAAUGGACUUUGUCUUAGAAAAUUCUUUUCUGGGUUAGAGGCCACACGAAGGAGGAGUGAAAAGUUAGGGGGAUGGAGUAUGUUAUGUGAAAUUUUCAAAUAAUCUAUAACAUCAUUAUCUUAAAAAGAUAACUUUCUCUUUAAAGUAAAUGUUUACCUCUAUCUUUGUGUUAUAUGAAUGGCUCAUGAGUUCGGUGUUUCACUGGAUGUUUUUCAGUGUCCACUGGGAUAAUUUUAUGAUUGACUGUUUCUAUGUUGUUUAGGGUUUUUAUUAUUUAUAAUAAAUGUAUACUGAGCAUCUACAUUAUAGCAUUUGACUUACCUUUAAUCAUAUUCUUCUGUUUUUAAGAUAUAGUAGAGUAACACCAUUAAAUAUUUGUGUAGAUUUUUAUCUUGUUUUGAAAAAUUCUGUAAACUGUUGUUUCAUCUGCUAUUUGCCACUGAGACUAUAUGUGAGAUGAUGAUCUGACAAUGGCAUCUUGACUGUCACAGGACUUUACUUUGUUUUUUCAAUUAUUAUAGUGCUCUAAAAAUUUAUCUGUCAUUUCUCAGUCCACUGCAUAUCUGCCAAAAUGUGAGCAGAGACAGAGAUCUCAGUUCACUGGGACCCAUUCUACUGCCUUCCACUGUCCCUACUCACUGACUCUGCUGGGACCAGGCCCCUGCCCUCAGUUCUGGUGGACUCAUGGAUCUCAGAUACAAGCCACAGCAGUCAGAAGAACAGACUCCAGCUGCUCAGGUGCAGGCCACAGCAGUCAGAAGAAAGGAGACCUCCUCUGUUGCACAAAAGGCCAAGAAAACUGCCAGAAUGCAGUUUUCAACCUAGUCAGAGACUCCAUAGUGGUUCAGAAGUAAAGCAGGCUACAACAAAUCUAGGCCACAAAGCCCGGAAGACCAAAACAGAAAGAAAGUGAAACCAAAGCACAAAACACCCAUCCAACAAAGAUAAACUCAGAAAUCAGUGCCUAGACCUAUCUAAACUCAUCCCAAGCAUGCAUGACUAAAUGCCAGUGCAAAAAGACCACAGCCAGGGCCACAUGGCACCACCGGAGUCCAGCUAUCCUAUAGCAGCAAGACCUGAAUAUCCCAGUGAAGCUGAAGCACAGGUACAUAACCUUAACACCUACUUUAUGAAGAUGAUAGAAAUCCUUAAAAAAGAAAUAAAAAAAAUACCUUAAAGAAAUCAAAGAAAACACAAACAAACAAAGAAUAUUGGAGGAAAUCAAUAUAGUUUAAUUAAAAUGUCAUUAAGGCUUAUGAUAUAAAACCAUAAAUUAACUCUAAAUGCUGGUGUGAAGAAAAGGAUUGUCUUGAUGUAUACACUCCUAGUAUUGUGUGUUUUCUACAGCUAUAUCUUGAUUAUUUUAACUUUUUCAUUUUUAUUUACUACAUUUAGGCUAUAUUAAGACAAACAAAUUUUAGAAGAUAUAAAAUAAUUGUACUCCUUAAUUUAUGUAUGGUUAAAAUAUUCAAUGAAAAUUAUAAAACAUUUAUUAAUAUUUGUAUUUUAGAAAAGUUUGUCUUUAACUCAGUUAACAUAUUUAUUAGGCGUGCCUUCAUGCAUGUCUAUAUUUUGUAUUUAUAUUUUGGUGUGUGUGAUAUUAUCUCAUUUGUUUGAAAGAACUAGACGUGUCAUUGUGUUAAGUAUUAUGUUUUCCAUGUAAAUCUGUGCACAAGGGGUACUGUACAAGGCAAUGGAGAGUUAACUUAGUAGUGUAAUGAUUGUCUAAAAUAUGGAUAGCCCUCCUUUCAAUUCCCAGCAAUUAAAAUAAAAGCUUCAAAAUAGCCUGUGAACUAAUCCCCAGAGCAAGGUAGAAGCAAUCUAUUUAACUAUUAUACUAUAACCUUAGGAUAAGACU